AUUGAACGCUGGCGGCAGGCUUAACACAUGCAAGUCGAGCGGGGUGAUGGUGCUUGCACUAUCACUUAGCGGCGGACGGGUGAGUAAUGCUUAGGAAUCUGCCUCUUAGUGGGGGACAACAUCCCGAAAGGGAUGCUAAUACCGCAUACGUCCUACGGGAGAAAGCAGGGGAUCACUUGUGACCUUGCGCUAAUAGAGGAGCCUAAGUCGGAUUAGCUAGUUGGCGGGGUAAAGGCCUACCAAGGCGACGAUCUGUAGCGGGUCUGAGAGGAUGAUCCGCCACACUGGGACUGAGACACGGCCCAGACUCCUACGGGAGGCAGCAGUGGGGAAUAUUGGACAAUGGGGGGAACCCUGAUCCAGCCAUGCCGCGUGUGUGAAGAAGGCCUUAUGGUUGUGAAGCACUUUAAGCGAGGAGGAGGCUCUUUUGGUUAAUACCCAAGAUGAGUGGACGUUACUCGCAGAAUAAGCACCGGCUAACUCUGUGCCAGCCGCCGCCGUAA
rnacentral:rRNA from 1 species